GUGGGUGUAGCUCAGCUGGUUAGAGCGCCAGGUUGUGGCCCUGGAGGCCGCGGGUUCAAACCCCGUCACUCACC
rnacentral:tRNA from 1 species